rnacentral:rRNA from 2 species
GAGUUUGAUCGUGGCUCAGGACGAACGCUGGCGGCGUGCUUAACACAUGCAAGUCAAGGGGGCCCGCAAGGGUAACCGGCGAACGGGUGCGUAACACGUGAGCAACCUGCCUAGGUGUGGGGGAUAGCCGGCCCAACGGCCGGGUAAUACCGCAUACGAUCACUAGUCGGCAUCGACAUGUGAUGAAACUUUCGAGGCGCUUAGAGGGGCUCGCGGCCUAUCAGCUUGUUGGUGGGGUAAUGGCCUACCAAGGCGACGACGGGUAGCUGGUCUGAGAGGAUGGCCAGCCACAUUGGGACUGAGAUACGGCCCAGACUCCUACGGGAGGCAGCAGUGGGGAAUAUUGCGCAAUGGGCGAAAGCCUGACGCAGCGACGCCGCGUGGGGGAUGAAGCAUUUCGGUGUGUAAACCCCUGUUGCUCGGGACGAACAACUGGAUUCUUCCAGUCUGACGGUACCGGGUGAGGAAGCACCGGCUAACUCCGUGCCAGCAGCCGCGGU